rnacentral:sRNA from 1 species
AGUCAGUACCUUUACUUACCCUUGAACUUUGUCCCUACCACCUUCCGAAAUUAACCUAAGCCAACAACAUGUUUAGAAUUCUGUUCAACGUUAUAAAAUCUUUCAUAGUUUUAUUCUAGCGAACUACUAAAAUACAAACCAGAAUUGCAAUAGAAAUUUAGUUUGAAAAUCCAAUAGGAAAGUAAAUGCAAACAUUCGGAAAAUGUGAAAUUUAAAAGAUAAAAAAAAAGAAAUAAAAAAAACCAAAUUAGAAUAAACUUAGAAAAAACAAUAAUAUGAAACGGUCUUUCUCUUCUUCUUCUAGUUUAGAAACAGGACCAGGAAUAAUGCGAGACGGACUCCCAGAUCGGUAGAUGAUGAUGGCACCUGCUUGGUACCAGUAGAUGGACCCUCAGUUGAUCUGUCCGUCCGUUUAUUGUCUUUUUAUCUCGGUGGCGAUUUAUGUAAAAAUAUACAUAAGCAUGUAUUUUUUUCUUAGCUUCUCUUGCAUUAGAGACAGCACAAUCGGCCUCACUAUUGGGACACUACCCCCACUUUAAACCUACGACAAAGCUACAUACCUAAGCUGAGCUCAACCUGAGACGCCUUGGGCACCUUUUAUACAAAAGUAAAAAAAGGCUGAAACAAAAGGAAAAUAAGGAAGUCAAGUCUGGAGUCCGUUUGUUCGAGGUUAAUGGUAAUUCAACCGUCCGUAUAGGGCUUUACAUGGGGCAUGUCUGUCUGAGCAUGCCAGUUUGCUGCGUCUCCCACGUUGAUUGAAGCGAUGAUGGUGGCUGGACGUGGCCGAAAAUAUACGAUUAUAUUUGUAGUUCAAAUCUUGCUUGUAAUUUUGAGGUUUUGUUUAGCUUGUAAGUUCACGAUUUAUUUAGCUUGUAAGUAUUUGGUUUAUUUAGCUUGUAAGUUUAUGGUUUAUUUAGCUUGUAAGUUUUUGGUUUAUUUAGCUUGUAAGUAUUUGGGUAGUUUAUUUUACUUUGCAGGUUAUUUAGCAAGUAAGUUCAUUUAGCUCUUAAGAUUAAAGUCUCUUUUUUUUAGGUUUCACUUUUUAAUAUUUAGGUUACAAAUUCAAGUUUCAAUGUUUGUUUGGCACACAAUUAACCAUCAAUAAAACACACAAGCAUAAGCAUCUUUUUCUUCUUCUUUAAAAGUGUUGGUUAGGUCAUACUACAAGGCAUAUGGCUGGCUUUAGUUUCACAACAACAAAAAACACUCAAUUUCACUCGAUUCCACACGUCCAACCAGCUUCAAUGUUCAAAUUCAAGAGACAGGAAAAAGCCCUGGAAAUCGUCCAUUUUCCAAAAAUUUCCUGGCCCUUUUUCCUUUCACUUUUCUUCUCAUUGUUUAUAUUUGUCCCCAAGCCACCAGUCAUGAACACCGGCACCUAUACGGCAGCUGUUUAUGACGUGUUGCCAAUCGAAUACACCUUAUGUCAUUUACAAUAACACGGUUAGU